rnacentral:rRNA from 1 species
AUUGAACGCUGGCGGCAUGCCUUACACAUGCAAGUCGAACGGCAGCACGGGGCAACCUGGUGGCGAGUGGCGAACGGGUGAGUAAUGCAUCGGAACGUACCUUUCAGUGGGGGAUAACGUAGCGAAAGUUACGCUAAUACCGCAUAUUCUGUGAGCAGGGAAGCAGGGGAUCGCAAGACCUUGCGCUGAUUGAGCGGCCGAUGUCAGAUUAGCUAGUUGGUGAGGUAAAGGCUCACCAAGGCGACGAUCUGUAGCGGGUCUGAGAGGAUGAUCCGCCACACUGGAACUGAGACACGGUCCAGACUCCUACGGGAGGCAGCAGUGGGGAAUUUUGGACAAUGGGGGCAACCCUGAUUCAGCCAUGCCGCGUGAGUGAAGAAGGCCUUCGGGUUGUAAAGCUCUUUCGGCCGGGAAGAAAUCGCACGGGCUAAUACCCUGUGUGGAUGACGGUACCGGAAUAAGAAGCACCGGCUAACUACGUGCCAGCCGCCGCGGUAAUAC